UUUCAAGACUCCUUUAUCCAUUGUUACUUACUCGACGAGGCAAGAGAUAAAGGGAAGCAGACGAACGAAUGACGUGAGUGGGUUUCACUCCCCAGCCAGCCCGUUAAAAGGCCCGUGGAGUCGCGCUCGAAGGGCCCUACUUUGCGGCGCGGAGGAGCAUCGUGGUGGCGAUUUGUAUCCGACGAUCGUUGAGCCGGCCUCCGAUUGGCUGGUUCGUACCUGCAAUGCGUCACUCGAGCUCGCAGCCGCCGCCGGGACGCGGUGCGGCUUCUGCCGUUGCUGGUCUGGCCGCGCUGUCCUGGCAACUGCGCCAGGCGGCAGAGUCGCUUUCCUUGCGCUUGGCUGGAGAACCUUCCUCCUCCACCCAUCCUUCUCUCCCACACUCACACACACACUUUCCCGCCCCUUGUGCAGGGGUAGGCGAAAACACCUUAGGCAGAUAAAGAAUGACGCUGAAAGACCCCAGGAAACCUGUACCCCGCGCUCAGCUUCUCGGCCUCGUGGAGGUCACACGUUUUUCAUUUUACUCCUUCACGAAACCAAUAAAAAUCUAGGUAUGUACCCAGAAGAACUGAAAGUAAGAUCUUGAAGAGCUUUUGGUAUGGCCAUAUUCAAGGCAGUGUUAUUCGCUAUAGCUAAAACUUGGAAGCAACACAAGAAUGGAUAAGCAAAAUGUGGUAUAUACAUACAAUGGAAUGUUAUUCAGCCUUGAAAAGGAAGAAAAUUCUACAACAUGCCACCACAUGAAUGAACCUUGAGGACAUUAUGUGGAGCCAGCUCUGUGGUUCCCGGCUCUCCCCAGCCAAACUGUGCUUACGUUUCAUAGGGUCACUGACCUUUCUUUCCUUGCUGCUCCAACAACUGCUAUCUUUGCAGCUCUUCUUCCAUCUGCUGCCUUGUUUUUUGUUCCAUGGCCAUUGUGGUUGAGUACGUCCUUUGUCUGAGCUGGGACAGACAACUCCUGGCUGAGAAGCAUCCCGGAAGGCUCAGAGCCGUCCCUCUGUGCAGUAUGCAACCACUCAACACCAUCUGGGGGACACACUAGCCAAGAUGCUCUGAGGUAGGGCACUCAGGGUUGCCAGCCUUAUCAGUGAAAUAUGGAAAGACAGAAAUAAAGAAGCAAUUUCAAGA